AUAAUAUAAACUCAUUCGAACAGCUUUCCUUUCCCCUUGUUUGUGCCUGAGACUUCAGGUUGCUCAUACAUAACUGAAAACAUUUAAUUUAAGCAAGGAUGAGAAUUUGAGUGCCCAACAAGUAAUAGAAAUUAUAUAUAUAAGCUGAAAGAGUAUAAGUAUUCUCUUUACAUAACACUUCUACAACGAAUCGAAAGUUGUGAAGUAAUCUGUACUGAUAAAAGAUUCACAUAACAACUCUCUUUCAAUUUCUUGAAAUUAGGCUCCACCCAUGAAUAGGGUUUAAGAAACAUACUAUGAACAUUGUUUUUCAUUUUCGAAAAGGUUUAGCAGAAAUUCAUC
rnacentral:lncRNA from 1 species